UACUUGAUAAAUGUCCUCAAACGUGAGUGCUCCUCAGAGGUUCAGGUAUUCCACAUAAGUAAACAUAAAAUGUUCCAGACAGUUGAAUGAAGACCUUGUUUUCUCUUCUAUAAUGGGUAGCACUUAAGGCAGUAUAGGUUCCAAACAUUCUGUACAAAUCCAGUGACUAUGAUAAUAUGUGGUAAAAUACAACUGAGAAAUGGCAUGGAGGGUCGUGUUUGGAGAUCCCAGCAGAGGCAGCAUAUAGUGUAUUUGGAUCCUUGCCCCAGAAUAGUUAGUGGAAGUGUGUGCACCAUCUACUGAAACCAGGGUGGCCUUGGGUUUUCUACUCCUGUUCCUUCUUUUAUUGUCAUAGCUAUGGCAAAUCAAUGACACUAAUCUCUGCUUCUAAACUUUCUAGAAGUUACGUGAUCUCUCAGGUCAGGACAAACUAUUGAGUUAAUGUGUCAGCAGCAUUGGUCCCCAAGGAAAGAUCUAGGUGAGUGUCUAGACUCACAUGGUUCCAUGUCAAGGCAGAGGCUGUGCUGGGCAAACUGUUUAGUUUCUUUCCAGCUC
rnacentral:lncRNA from 1 species